UUUCGAGACCACUGCAAAUCAUU
rnacentral:miRNA from 1 species